GAUUUUGUGUGCCGAAUUAGCCAUACUUUUGAUGAAAUACACUCCGUCUUCACACACAAUCGUCAUAGUUUGCAAGACCAUAGAUACCGUUGUUAGCUAACAGUUAUAUGGAGAGAAAAGUCUUUAUUUUAGUCAACAAAGGCCGCCCAGAUAUGAGGUGAAAUGAGUUCAAUGCUCGGCUGUAGAAGCUGCGGCGCUGCGUUUUUUGUCUUGUGUUCAUCGCUAGAUGGCAGAAGAAGACCAUUUUUCUACUGGAUUAACGAGGUUGUAUAUCGUGCUGCUGCAGCCUGGAUUAUAUUGUAAUAACAUCAAGUAAAAACCAUGAAAUGGCAUUCAAAAGCAAAGCGGUCGAGUCAAAGACCGUGCUCUUCAAUCUCCUGCUAUGUCUGGCCAUAUUUUACUCUCUUUUUUACAUGAUUGGGAGUGUGUGCUUCGGUGCCUUCAGGUUGGAUCAUUUUGACGGACUGAUUCCAUUUGACUUCAAGACCGAACCCGCUGAAUCCAACUCCAAAUACUUGGUAAACCUCCUCUCCCUAGAGCUCACCUACUUUUGCAGUGGCCUUUUGUUUGCUGCAGUGGUGAGGAGGCGUGUAUGGGAUUAUGCCCUCACAGUCACACUUCUGCAUGUAAUUAUCACUAGCCUAGUGAUGUUGGAGUUUCCAAUGGUGUGGCAGUGGUGGCUGGCUUUAGGACUGUUGACACACUCUGAGGCAAUCCUUACCAUAACAAUACUUUAGGAGGAAAGACAUCCUGGCGUAACAGCAGUUUGUCAAGCAUGUCAGAGAACUACAGUGGCCUUCAGGAAGCGGCUUGUUUCUGAUGAUCUGCAAUGGUCAGCUGAUAGCUUACUUCACCUGUAAAAGUGACCAAAGCUACACAUCCUUCAGCAUCUACUGACAGACAGAACGCUACGAACGUUUUCAUAAACAGUCUUAUGAAGUGAGGUGGAAAGCAUCAGACCAGACAUCUCAUCAUGGAGACCACAAUUAGGUUGUCCAUAGUGAUGGGCUUAUGUGUUUUGUUACUAUGAAAAGACAUGAUUUCCUCACCAUCACGCUUAAGGUCAGAGCUGGGUCUACUUUGUUGCCAACCGACUGGCCUCCUUUUGUUUUCAUGUAAAUGCCACAAGGAGAUGUUUCUAUGUGUUUUGCUUUCACAAUCCCUCGGUUACUUUGCAGGAUGGUAAGGCCCCCUGUUGAGUAUUUUCAGUACUUUUGUGAGCUUUGAAUCGAUUGGUAGAGCAGGAAAGUUGCACUACAUGUUUCCUGUGUAUUAUGAAGAUAUAAAUGUUAAAAAAGCAGAUUGAGUGUUUUUUUCUUUAAUAUUAAUACACAUAAGGUAGCUAGAAAUUGUGAAAUAGUAACCAGGCUAUUUCAAAUUAGGAAUUAAUGCUUUAAAUAACUUUAAAAUGUUUAAAAAUAGAAUUCGAUUUAAUAAUUUAAAACAUAAAAAAUAAAUAUUUGAACAGACAUGCUCCCAGAUUUCGCGUUGUUAUGAACCCGGCUUUGCUGCCACGUACUCCACUGGGUUCAUGAAGGAGAAUCCUGGGAAGGCCUCGUUGGUCCCGGUUGACUGGCACUCAUUCACAGAGGCAGGGACAGGUUGUAGCGUGAACUCAGGGUCGAUGUUACUGAAAUCACAGGGGCCGGCCUAGAGCGGAGAGAGGAAUAAAAAAUAAAUACUUUCAGGAACACUGUGCAUUGGUUUUCAAAAUAUACUGCCUUCCAUUUCGUUCUGAAUCACACCUACCACUUUCGGGAUGAAAGGAGGUCUAACUUUUCUGGCCAGCAGGUCGUCCCAGUUGAUUGAUGCAAAGAAGGGAUGUUCCUGCAGCUCCGCCUGCAGACAGUGAAAUUAGACCAUCUGCAAUAAUGUGUGUGUAUUUUCAUCAAUGCUCGUCUCUGUUUUUGAUGUUUUGAUUGGACUUACAAGGUCACUGCUUCCCCCUAUGCGUUUGGAGACGUCUCUUUCCAGCAACCCCUUUAACAGUGAGGCCUGUGCACCUCCACUGCACACCUGCAGAGGAGCGUGAAGUAUGCUCUCAAACAUCUCUGCUUUGCAACGGCUGUAAAACGGAGGCCAGGAAAAAGGACAUGGAGGUGAAGGAAAUGCUUAAGAAGAUGAUGUGAAGAAAAAAUGAUUUAAUAUGCCACACUUACCAGUCCAUAGAGCAUCUCAAACAGCACAGUGCCGAGGCCCCACCAGUCCACUGCUGGACUGUACAGGAAGCCUUGUAGCACCUCUGGAGCGAGGUACUCAGGAGUCCCACAGAAUGUAUGCAUGAUCCCACUUACGGCCACACCUUCUUUACAAAGCCCCAAGUCAGUCAGCAUCACAUGACCCUCCUGGUCAAGCAAGAUGUUCUCUGGUUUGAGGUCCCUGGAAGACAGAGGCAAAAACUUGGAAUUUGGUCUGUUGGCUUGUUGUUCAGGAAAAUUAAGAAAAACCUACUGCCUGGAUCAUUUAUGAAACUUGGUAAAAGGUGAAGUCCAUGGUCCAUGGAAAAAUAAAACAUUAAGUGUUGGUGUGUAUCUGAACAGAGGAAUAGAUACAGUACAUGUCAUUUUUAGUAAUUGUCUAGGCAGAGGUGUUUGCUCUCCAUGAUCCCUUCUGGUUUCAACUCAUAUUGCAGUACAACUAAUAAUUCUUUAAAGUUCAUUUUUAAAUAUGAUUUUGGAGGACAUAGAUGUUUUCAGUGAUAAGAUUUUUAUGGAGAGUUCUCUUAUCAAAUUGAAUGUUUCAUUGGGAUUUUCCUGCAUAAAUAAUUAAACAUUUGGAGCAUGUUUAAAUCAAACAUGAGUAAGUGUCAAACCAAGUAAAAUAGAGCCUUUUACAAUGGCAUACUAUUUGUGUGUGUAUAUAUAUAUACACUGUACCUGUAAACGAUGUUGAGAGAGUGGAGGUAACCCAGUGCCAUGGCCAUCUCUGCAGCGUAGAAAGCAGCCCUGGGAGCAGGAAAUGAACCCUUUCCUUGAAGGUGGUAGAAAAGCCACAGACAAACUGAUGAGUUUGAACCUUUUCUGACUAAAUAGUAAAUUGCAUUGGCAUAGGAAAUAUGCAGCUGUUUCUUUCGUUUUUAUGCUAAAGAUAAAGAAAUUUUAACUGUAUAUAUGGGUUUCAGACAGUUGGUUACUGGCAAAGGGAGUCUGCUAGUUAUACACAUGCCUCCCCUCCAUUAACAUAGUCCAGGACGAAGUAGAGCGUGUUCAGUGACUGGAAAGAAAAGUGUAGCCCAACCAGGAAUGAAUGUUGUAGUCCCUUCAGAAGCACGCUCCUCUCAACUAUCACAUGCCUCUGCUACAGACAAAGCAGAAACAGUAAGUACAUGGACGGACAAACAGAUGAAUGGACAGAUGGACGGACGGGUGGAUGGAUUACCUCUUUCCUCUUGACAAUCAUCUGUUUCUGCAGCACUUUGACAGCAUAGUAACCUCCAUGUUUUCUAUGCCUUGCCAGCAGCACCUGUACGAGUUGUUCCAUUAAGCUGUGUCAUUUUAUUUCCCAACAAGAAAACUCACAGACACAAGCAUUUCAAAGUAAAAAUAAAACAUACCUUUCCAAAGCUGCCUUUGCCGAUAACUUUCAGAUAGUCAAAAUCUGACGGUUUCAUCCUGGUAAAAACAACAAAGGAAAACUAAAUGUGUUGUGAGCCAUAUGUUUGGAUUUCUAGGGGCCUAUCAUAUCGCAUUUUUCAACUGUGAAAAUGUAUUUUAUUUCUCACCAAUGAAACAUUAUUCUCAUUGUAAUAGUGGAAACUUAAGCAUAACUGUUUCUUUUUUAAAUGUUAGGCAACAAAUUGCUACCUUCAGAAAGAGUUGAUUUUUAAUGUGAAGCAAAAACAGCAGAACCUUUUGCUGUAACAACUUAUUACUUGACAUCAGGUGGCAAACUGAUUUACUGUGAAGUUUCUGUAUUCACUGAUGUCUGAGGAGAGAAAAGACACAUAAG